rnacentral:rRNA from 1 species
UCUCAAGAAAAGANNNUAAGUCCAACCUAANGUAACUCCUGAUUAUCAUAAAUCACCUCACCACUUUAGAGCAAUUCAAAUGAGGUACAGCCCAUUUGAUAUAGGAUACAACCUUAACUAACGGGUAACAUUAAAUCUACACCUCCAAGUAGGCCUAAGAGCAGCCACCCUUUAAAAAAGCGUCAAAGCUUAAUCAUGUUCACAUCAAUUUUUAAUCUUCAAUUGACCCCUUUUACCUUACUGAGAAUUUCUAUAUCAUAUAGAAUAUUUUAUGCUAAAACUAGUAACAAGAGUAAACCCUCUCCCAAUGCAAACACAAGCCAGCAAGAACCCAUCACUGGCAAUUAACAGACUUAAACAAAAGUAGCAACAUCUCUAGAAAACCCUACUCAUCCCAACUGUUAACCUUAUACCAGAGCAUUUCAGGAAAGAUUAAAAGAAAAAGAAGGAACUCGGCAAACACUAAUCCCGCCUGUUUACCAAAAACAUCGCCUCUUGCCCCCAUAAGAGGUCAAGCCUGCCCAGUGACUUUGUUCAACGGCCGCGGUAUCCUAACCGUGCAAAGGUAGCGUAAUCACUUGUUUUCUAAAUAAAGACCAGUAUGAAAGGCAUCACGAGGAUUAAACUGUCUCCUUUUUCCAAUCAGUGAAACUAAUCUCCCCGUGAAGAAGCGGGGAUUAUCCUAUA